rnacentral:rRNA from 1 species
CCUACGGGUGGCAGCAGUGAGGAAUAUUGGUCAAUGGGCGGAAGCCUGAACCAGCCAAGUAGCGUGCGGGAUGAAGGCCCUACGGGUCGUAAACCGCUUUUGCACGGGGAUAACACCCUCCACUUGUGGAGGUCUCCAGGUACCGUUCGAAUCAGGGCCGGCUAAUUCCGUGCCAGCAGCCGCGGUAAUACGGAAGGCCAGGGCGUUAUCCGGUUUCAUUGGGCUUAACGGGAGCGUAGGCGGGGGGUAAAGUUUGCGGUAAAAUCGCGCGGUUCAACCGCGCCCCGCAGUUGAAACUGGACGCCUUGAGUGCACAACAGGCAGGCGGAAUUCGUGGUGUAGCGGUGAAAUGCGUAGAUAUCACGAGGAACCCCGAUGGCGAAGGCAGCCUGCCGGGGUGCGACUGACGCUGAGGCUCGAAGGUGCGGGUAUCAAACAGGAUUAGAUACCCGUGUAGUC